rnacentral:misc_RNA from 1 species
AACGCACGAGACCUGCGGACCUGCGGAAGGAUCAUUACAGUAUAUUGAAUUCUUAUUCAUAUCAACCCACACUGUGUACCUUUUAUUUGUUGCUUCCAUGGGACAUGGCUCUGCCACGUCGGCCUCUGGGCUGAUGAGUUCCCAUGGAAGGAAACCCAUAACUCUUUUUAUUUUUGACAUCUGUCUGAAUAGUUUUUAUAAACGUUAAAACUUUUAACAACGGAUCUCUAGAUCGGAAGA